rnacentral:rRNA from 1 species
UACAGAGGGUGCGAGCGUUGUCCGGAAUCACUGGGCGUAAAGGGCGCGUAGGUGGCGACCCAAGUCAGUGGUGAAAGCUCGUCGCUCAACGGCGAGUCGGCCACUGAUACUGGGUUGCUCGAGCACUGUAGAGGCAGAUGGAAUUCCGGGUGUAGCGGUGGAAUGCGUAGAGAUCCGGAAGAACACCGGUGGCGAAGGCGGUCUGCUGGGCAGUAGCUGACACUGAGGCGCGACAGCGUGGGGAGCAAACAGG